AUUGAACGCUGGCGGCAGGCCUAACACAUGCAAGUCGAACGGUAACAGGAAACAGCUUGCUGUUUCGCUGACGAGUGGCGGACGGGUGAGUAAUGUCUGGGAAACUGCCUGAUGGAGGGGGAUAACUACUGGAAACGGUAGCUAAUACCGCAUAACGUCGCAAGACCAAAGAGGGGGACCUUCGGGCCUCUUGCCAUCGGAUGUGCCCAGAUGGGAUUAGCUAGUAGGUGGGGUAACGGCUCACCUAGGCGACGAUCCCUAGCUGGUCUGAGAGGAGGACCAGCCACACUGGAACUGAGACACGGUCCAGACUCCUGCGGGAGGCAGCAGUGGGGAAUAUUGCACAAUGGGCGCAAGCCUGAUGCAGCCAUGUCGCGUGUAUGAAGAAGGCCGUCGGGUUGUAAAGUACCUUCAGCGGGGAGGAAGGGAGUAAAGUUAAUACCUUUGCUCAUUGACGUUACCCGCAGAAGAAGCACCGGCUAACUCCGUGCCAGCCGCCGCAGUAA
rnacentral:rRNA from 1 species